UUGAUAGAACCAGCUUCUAGGUUCAGGAAGGAAACCAGGCUGAUUCUCAGGCAGGAGGAGGCAGAGUACGUAUGACUCAAUCCCUCUUUGCCUUUAAUGAAAGUGACGGAGAAGAUUUUCCGCUUAAGAAGGAGGAUACCCUGAGAAUUUAUAAAAGCCUGAAGAGCAGUCGUGGAACACAGAGGACAGCAAAGGCAAGAGAGGGGUGAUUCCAGUUCCUUACGUCGAGAAGUAGAGACCUGCCUCUACCUCAGUAUUUGCUCUGAUUGGA
rnacentral:lncRNA from 1 species